AUACGUAGGGGGCAAGCGUUGUCCGGAAUCAUUGGGCGUAAAGGGCGCGUAGGCGGGCUUGUAAGUCUGAUGUGAAAGUGCGGAGCUUAACUCCGUAAAGCAUUGGAAACUGUGAGUCUUGAGGACAGGAGAGGAAAGUGGAAUUCCUAGUGUAGCGGUGAAAUGCGUAGAUAUUAGGAGGAACACCAGUGGCGAAGGCGACUUUCUGGACUGUAACUGACGCUGAGGCGCGAAAGCGUGGGGAGCAAACAGGAUUAGAUACCCUGGUAGUCCACGCCGUAAACGAUGAGUGCUAGGUGUAGAGGGUAUCGACCCCUUCUGUGCCGCAGUAAACACAAUAAGCACUCCGCCUGGGGAGUACGGCCGCAAGGUUGAA
rnacentral:rRNA from 1 species